UACGUAGGGGGCAAGCGUUGUCCGGAAUCAUUGGGCGUAAAGCGCGUGUAGGCGGUUCGGUAAGUCUGCUGUGAAAGUCCAGGGCUCAACCCUGGGAUGGCGGUGGAUACUGUCGGACUAGAGUACGGAAGAGGCGAGUGGAAUUCCCGGUGUAGCGGUGAAAUGCGCAGAUAUCGGGAGGAACACCAAUUGCGAAGGCAGCUCGCUGGGACGUAACUGACGCUGAGACGCGAAAGCGUGGGGAGCAAACAGG
rnacentral:rRNA from 1 species